GUUUCCAUGGUGUAGCAGUUAUCACGUUUGCCUUACGCGCAAAAGGUCCCCACUUCGAAACUGGGUGGAAACA